rnacentral:rRNA from 1 species
UACGUACCGUCCAAACGUUAUUCGGAAUUACUGGGCUUAAAGGGUACGUAGGCGGCGCUGUUAGUCGGGUGUGAAAUCCCUCGGCUCAACCGAGGAAUUGCGCCCGAUACUGCAGUGCUUGAGGGAGACAGAGGUAAGCGGAACUGAUGGUGGAGCGGUGAAAUGCGUUGAUAUCAUCAGGAACACCAGUGGCGAAAGCGAUGCACUGGCUGGUUUCUGACGCUGAGGUGCGAAAGCCAGGGGAGCAAACGGG